rnacentral:ncRNA from 1 species
GAUAGGCCGCUGCCGCUACUGUGAUUGGACACUGACGCAGAGUCAACUAGCCUUGUCCAGGCGGUGCUUCAUGCGGGGAGUGGCGGAGAGCGCAUGGAGAACCGGGGCGGUCCGAGCCACGAGGGGGGAGGCUCGGACCGCCAGGC